UCAUUUAAUAUAUGUAACUUAUGGAAAAGAAAUAGAGAAUAAUAAGUUACCAACAACGCGCCGAAACGUGAAAACGGAAAAGUGAUUCUUGCUCCUUUUAAAACCUCUUAAAAGUGCUUAUCUAACGUGCUUUUCAAUCUCUUCCUCGGCCAAAUCCAAUUCGUAGCAGAGCAUGGUGAUUAAUGGAACAAGAAAAUGAAAAUGAAGUUAAGAGAAACAAAAGAUACGUGAAGAUGAUGCCGACGCACAUUAAUGAUGGAAUUCGGGAAACUUGUUUUUGCUGAGCCUGUUCCCAAGGAUAACGAAGCUGCAACUUGGAGAGACAAGUUAGAUCAGCUUUAUAAGAGUUCAUUUGCAUUGAAAAAGCUGAAUCAAUUGGAUGGUUUCUGCAACUUCUAUCAUUUGCAUGUUUAUCUUUAGCAGCAAAUAUGGAGGAACCCCUUGUUCCUUCUCUCUUGGACCUUCAGGUUUCAACGUGGUUUGAACAGCAAGCCUAUGGCACUCAUCAAGAAGCUCCGCAAGGCGGACUCUGAUGAGCUAAUGAUAGAAGCUGAUAUCACGUGCACAAUACUAAAAAGCUGAUUUUGGUCUGAUUGUUUAUUCUCUUAGCCUUUGUUACACCAUAUGCAUAUUCGAAAGCUUCUUCGUAGGUUGAAAGCCGAAACUGAUCAAAUAUGUCAAGCUCCUGGGUAUUUCAGGGGUAUUUCAGUGUUAUUUGGCCUUCUUAAGGAAGUUCUUAAAAACAGACCUGACUUGAAGUUGGUUGUUAUGAGUGCUACAUUUGAAGCUGAAAAGUUUCAGGGAUAUUUUUUUGGAGCUCCUCUAAUGAAAGUUCCUGGAAGGCUACAUCCAGUUGAAAUUUUUUAUACUCAAGAACCAUUUUUUUUUCAUUUUUUACACUCGUCAAAACUGCGAAAACAAUUGCUUCUCCAGGGCGUGGUAUUUUGGCCAUGGAUGAAUCCAAUACUACAUGUGGAAAGCGGUUGGAUUCAAUUGAACUAGAGAACACCGAAACUAACCGUCAAGCAUGGCGUAAAAUUAUAUAUGAAGAAAGUGUUAUGACUUAGUUAAAAUAUAAUUUUUAUGUGUAUGCUUUUAUAAUACUUGAAAUAUUAUGACUGUACAUGAUUUUGUAUAUUUUUUUGGUUAAUAUGAAAAAUAUUUUGACUUAGUUAAAAUUUGAUUUUUAUGUGUAUAAUUUUUAUAGUAUUUGCAAUAUUAUGACUGAAAAUGAAAUAUAACUAAAUGGUGUAUAUGAA